rnacentral:rRNA from 1 species
AACCAGCUCUUCAAGUGGUCGGGAUAAUUAUUGGGCUUAAAGUGUCCGUAGCCGGUUUAGUAAGUUCCUGGUAAAAUCGGGUAGCUUAACUAUCUAUAUGCUAGGAAUACUACUAUACUAGAGGGCGGGAGAGGUCUGAGGUACUACAGGGGUAGGGUGAAAUCUUAUAAUCCUUGUAGGACCACCAGUGGCGAAGGCGUCAGACUGGAACGCGCCUGACGGUGAGGGACGAAAGCCAGGGGAGCGAACCGGAUUAGAUACCCGGGUAGUCCUGGCCGUAAACGAUGCAUACUAGGUGAUGGCACGGCCAUGAGCCGUGUCAGUGCCGUAGGAAACCGUUAAGUGUGCCGCCUGGGAAGUACGGUCGCAAGGCUAAAACUUAAAGGAAUUGGCGGGGAGCACCACAAGGGGUGAAGCCUGCGGUUC